rnacentral:rRNA from 1 species
UGGGGAAUAUUGGACAAUGGGCGCAAGCCUGAUCCAGCCAUGCCGCGUGAACGAUGAAGGCCUUAGGGUUGUAAAGUUCUUUUGUCAGGGAAGAUAAUGACGGUACCUGAAGAAUAAGCACCGGCUAACUUCGUGCCAGCAGCCGCGGUAAUACGUAGGGACCAAGCGUUGUUCGGAUUUACUGGGCGUAAAGGGCGCGUAGGCGGCAAUUCAAGUCAUCUGUGAAAUCUCCGGGCUUAACUCGGAACGGUCAGAUGAUACUGCUUUGCUAGAGUGCAGAAGGGGCAAUCGGAAUUCUUGGUGUAGCGGUGAAAUGCGUAGAUAUCAAGAGGAACACCUGAGGUGAAGACGGGUUGCUGGGCUGACACUGACGCUGAGGCGCGAAAGCCAGGGGAGCAAACGGGAUUAGAUACCCACGUAGUCCCUGAGCGGGCUGGCAAGGCGCAU